UACGUAGGGGGCAAGCGUUGUCCGGAAUUAUUGGGCGUAAAGGGCUCGUAGGCGGUUUGUCGCGUCGGGAGUGAAAUCAUCUGGCUUAACUGGGUGCUUGCUUUCGAUACGGGCAGACUAGAGGUAUGCAGGGGAGAACGGAAUUCCUGGUGUAGCGGUGAAAUGCGCAGAUAUCAGGAGGAACACCGGUGGCGAAGGCGGUUCUCUGGGCAUGACCUGACGCUGAGGAGCGAAAGUGUGGGGAGCGAACAGG
rnacentral:rRNA from 1 species